rnacentral:ncRNA from 1 species
UAAAAGUUUGGUCCUGGCUUUUGUUUUAGUUAUGUUUAUUUUAAAUACAUGAAAUUUUUGGGAUAAGUGAGGAAUGGAAGUUUUCUAGAAAGUGAAAAAAUAUUUUGCUUUCUAUAAAAAUUUCUGGUAUUAAGUUUUUUAUGAUACCUGAAGAUAUUUCACUUCAUCAGUAUUGGAGAUUAAUAAAUGUAAGAAAUUAUGAUUUAGAAAAUGAACAAGAAGUUUGGAAAAAUUUGUGCCAGCCUCCGCGGUUAGACAAAUAAGCUAAGCUAAAAUGGUCGGUAAAAAAGAUGGUUAGUUUUUGAAUAUAGAUAGAUUCUAUUAAUUUUAUUGGUUAAAUCAGAAGAAUUAAUUAAAAAUUAUUCCUAUCUAAGAAAUGAUGCCAUGAGAACUCAAUUUUUAAAACCGGGAUUAGAUACCCCGUUAUUUGAGAGGUAAAUAAACAUAAAUAUGUAUACCAGAGUAUUACGGGUGUUCCCUAAAACUCAAAGGACUUGGCGGUGCUUGAAACCCAGCCAGGGGAACCUGCCCCAUAAUCGAUAUUCCUCGAAGAACCUUACUUUUUUUUGCAGUCAGUCUGUAUACCGUCGUCGUCAGGUGACUUUUUAGAAUAAAGAAGUCAGCAAGAGGGAAUAGAUUUAUCCUUUAUGUCAGAUCAAGGUGCAGCUUAUAGAAAAGAGGAGGUGGGUUACUAUGAAGUAUUUUUUAUGGAUAUUCUGCUGAAAAAUGGAAUUGAAAUAGGACUUGGGAGUAAGUUUAAGAAAGAGUGUUAAACUGAACUAGGAUUUAGAGUGUGCACAUAUCGCCCGUCGCUCUCGUCGAAAGAUGAGAUAAGUCGUAACAUAGCAAGAGUACCGGAAGGUGUUCUUAAAGACAU